ACACUCCUGCUCUAUAGAGUCCACAUAAAGUGACAUGGUGGUAUCUAAGACAAAGACUUGAAGGAAUUUAACCUUUUAUUUUUAGGGCAGUAAAAAUCCUUGAUAAAAGAAAAUCAGCCAGAGAUAAAUAAACAAAUUCUGUGCCAUCCACAACAAGCCAUGAUUUAAUCAGCUUAUAAUAACUUCAAUGGGGAUUGUUCUGAAGCUUGUCGGCAGAUGCUGCAGGACCAGAACUGAGAUGUAGCAACCAAGAGGUUAUUGAUGUAACAGACCCAACUUUCAUGAGCAAUGUGUCCUAGAAGUGGAAACCAAGGGUCAUGUUGCUCACAUUGGUGAACAGCUACUUACAUAAGUAGUCUCACUGAAUUCAAACCUGUCCUGAAAAGGCACUUAACAGUCUUAGCUGCAACAAUGUGGAAAAAAAAAAAGCAAAUAAGUAGAAUAAGAACCUUUCAUGUGGCAGUCAAAUGCUUCUUGCGGAAAUAGCUGGGGCAGGUGUGAAGUUACCUGCUUCUUCCAUGUACCCUGCGUUGGCAACUUCAGACUAACCCAGUUACUCUCACAGUGCUGGAGAGAAGCGCUUGCACUGACCAUUCCUGUAGUGAAAGCUGUGAAGUCUUACACCAUCGCUGCCAUUUCUCCAGUGGGCAUCCAUCUGUGGCCUCAGGAUUUGAUUGCAACUUUUUCCUCAAGCCUAGCAAACUACUUUCAGUGACCUUCAAGGCUGAGGGAAAGAAUUCAUGGAGCAAAACGUAAUGAACGAAUGUUAGUAAUGCAAUUGGAACUGCAAAGUAGCUGAGAGCGUAAAGCAUGUGAAAGUAACCCCUCCUUCCUGCAUGCUCAUUUUCUCUGUGCCUUUUUAAAAAAGAGGCAAAAAAUAGUGUCAUUUGCAGAUACUAGUCUUGUAUGUGAGAUUGGGAAGCAUUUGGGAACAGAAAAUUCUUAUAUACUGAAUCGUCAAAGAAGAUACAGUGCAGUGGAAAAAAUGUGUGUGACAGUUGUGUUGUGUGACAGUUUUUCCUACCCUGCUCCAAACUACCUGCCAGGCAAAACCCUUUUUUUCUUUUCUUUUUUUUUUUUCUUUUUCUUUUUUUUUUCUUAUUUGCUAGGGUCUUAUAUGCAGCUCACCCUUCAGGACACAAGCACAAAUAUUAACUGACACUUACUUGCUAAGUAUCCAAAGCAAUGAAAUCCUAGAUAGUAACUACUGUUUACAAAUAUUUAAAAAAAUAAUAUUUGACUUAGAAAUAUCCAGUGAACACUUACCUGAUAAAAAUCAUAAUAUCUCUAUCAAAUUUAUUUAAUUUCUACUAUCUACUGUCAAAGCAUGGAUUUGGGGAAGACACAGUUAUUCAAGGAAAAUAACUGAAUCUUUAGCAGAAAAGCCCUUUCCUUGAACUCCUUAACCACAUGCAUCACAAAUUAUCACUCAACCCUGUGACAUGGGCAUUUGAUUUGUAAAGACCUGCUCCAAUGGAAAGGCUCUAGUCAGCUCGGGGAUGGGGGAGAUGUUCCAUUUCCCAUUGAAUCCCAGAACUCUGGGCUUUUCUGGGUCAUUUCGGUUGCAGCUCCAAGACAAUGUUGCUGUGCCGAACACUCGGCAGCUCAGAUGUUCAUCCAGGAUGCAGCCUGGCUGCUCCAGAAGGUACACAGUUCCAGGAUCAUAUCUAAAACAUCAGCUUCUGUUGCAGAGGUAACAGGCUGGAUAUCAUGACUUGGAAUCCCACUGAAAUAAGCAUCAUCUAACCAGGCUUCAGAAGCCAUCUGCACCUCCUCCAGAAUGCUAUGGCUUUUCAUGAGAGUCUUGAGAGAGGAAGUGCACUCAUUGCACCUCCUGGGAAUUUCUGAAGAAUACAGUUCAACAGUUUCCACUUCCAGUAUUUCCUUCCUAGGUUAGAAGAAGUAUCUUUGUCCUGUCCAGAUCUUGAAGACAUUCAAUGAAAUUUGGCAUCUUAGGUUCAGAACAUUAGCAAUCACUUAGACUUUCACCUUUGCUCAGGUCUGAUUUAUGUCUUUCACCUUGCAGGACACAUAAUUCAAAUCACCAUCCACUAUAUCCACGGGAAGAAUCUUCAGGCCAAACUGUUACAGCAACCCAUUAGUCCUCUGGCUUUCUACACCACCAGGAAACAAUGGCGAAUGCCAAACUUUUGCAACUGCAAACAAAGGGAAAUGGGUAUUCGUGUCUACCAUUACUUUCCUAAUUGGUUGAGCAGGGAAAAAACAAUCUUACCAGGAAAUCCUCACAAGUCUGAACUACAUCUCUCAGCCUUGUUUGCUUGCCAGUUCUCCUGCUGAACCACAGGAAAUCCAUUCCAGCUCCAGCACAGAUUGUUCAGAGCAGGCGAGACCAGCUCAUUAGCGAUGUAACCUCCAGGCAGUAGGCAUGCACACAAAAUGUUCAGCCUGGGGAUGGGGUAGCACAGAUGCAACCAAAGGGGCUUGCCUGACGCUCUUGGAUUGUGUAUUCAUGUUUAUGUUGAUCAUAUAACCCUGCCUGCUGUUCCUUAUCAAUGCGGACAUGACCUUGAUAGAGCAAGCUGUUAGAUCCCAAGCCUGUGUGCAUGAGAAACCUGGACAGAGCAGGUUCCCCUGCAUGCAGCUUCCCAAAGAACUGUAUUUUUUCUGUGCUGGAGGUGAGCUUGAAGAGUCAGUCCAAUCCUGAAACCAAGUAUGUCUAUGAAGCUGCUUUCCUAUGAUCUCUGUGGUCAUUCCCCAAUGCAGAUAUCUGUAGAGGAAGAUUCACCCACCACUUAAUCUCCAUGGGACUCUGCAGGCCUGAUGGAGCUGGAAAAUCUUUGUGAGGGUUUGAAAAAGCAUAAAGCCCUUGCAGUCCAUCUUAAGUGCCUCAAGGUCCUCUCACCUCUGGUUUCAUGAAUGCUUCCCAGUACCUGUCCCAUCCUGUGACACCGAAAAAGAAGUAUGCUAUGUGCUUUCCAGAGAAAUACAAGAACAAGAUCUCAAGAGCUUCCAAGAUAAACACAUUUUCUGAAUUUUGUGCAUUCACCACAUAGUUUUAUUAGGCCAAAAAUUUGCUCACAAGAUUUUGUGUGGUUCUGAAAUUAGGUAUAUUUUCUGUCCCUAUAGAAAUGUCUUUAUUUACUUGAUCAUAUAUCACACUGCUGUGCAGAAAACAAAACAAGCACCUGUGUUUUCCCCAUUCUUCAUGUACCAAGACUAAUGUCUAUCAAAAAUAGUCCUGUAAAACAUAAACUGUUUCAGAAAUAAAUACACUUGAUGUUUA